AGGGCUGCCCUGCAGCACCCCCCUGCACCCGGAAGGUCUGGCCUCCCUGGAGCACCAGCCGGUGCCGCGCUCCCCCCAGCUGGGGCCGCUCAGAAGGGGAACUGGGGAUGGCAGAGGGUCAGCUCUGGAGACGGGCGGCCCGUGGCAUCUCGCUGCUAGUGACCAGGCGAUUUGGGCUGCCGAGGGACCAGGAGCAGCUGGGGGCACCCCAUCCUCUGGGCCAGGGAUCCGGGGCCAGCUUCACCCUCUGCAGGCCUGGGGAGCUGCCCGCCCCACCAGAGCAGCCACCAGCUUCGGCGACAGCCCUGUGGGCGCUCACCCCGGCCCUCUGGCCUCAUUCUGCCCUAAUAAAGAUGUUUACAGUUUUAACCAUCAAA